GGUACUUCUCGCGAGACUUUCUCGUCAGUAGCUCGCGCUCCAGUAUGGCAGCUGUCGCGCUGAGGUCUUGUCGCAGAGGGUUUUCUCGCUUUUUAAGCCAUGGCGGCUUCGUACCUUCGUCCGACACACACUCGAAAGGAGACCGAAGACACAAGUCCACAGUCCAGUAUGCUACCAGGCCUGAUCUACCCAAACUCGCCUAUAGGAGGGUGAAAGG